rnacentral:rRNA from 1 species
UACAGGGGGUGCAAACGUUGCUCGGAGUCAUUGGGCGUAAAGCGCACGUAGGCGGUUCGUUAUGUCGGAUGUGAAAGCCCUUGGCUUAACCGAGGAAGUGCAUCCGAAACUGGCGAGCUAGAGUACGAAAGAGGAUCGCGGAAUUCCCGGUGUAGAGGUGAAAUUCGUAGAUAUCGGGAGGAACACCGGUGGCGAAGGCGGCGAUCUGGGGUCGAUACUGACGCUGAGGUGCGAAAGCGUGGGGAGCAAACAGG